rnacentral:lncRNA from 1 species
CUUUCGUGAACUUCUCCUGCUCCUUGUGACUCAAAGCACUCAUUAUCCUCAGGCUGGACAAGACCUCCUCCUGGUGGAUCUGGAUCUUUCUGAUCUCCUCCUGGAUGUCCUGGAGGCUGAGGUCAAGACACACUGGCCCACUGAGCUCUGCCUUCACCCUCCGAAGCCAGUCUAGGGAACGGCUCAUCUCAGUCUGGAAGUCUAUGCUCUGUACCAUCCUGCUUUCGCAUUCUGUCACCAGCUCCCCGACGUCAGACGUCAUCUGUUUUAGCUCCUCCUGCCAGGACUGGACCUGACUCUUGGCUUUCUCAUAAGCCGUGGGAUCGAGAUGUGGAGAAAGAUCUUCUAGGUGCGGUUUCCUCGUUCACUUUGGCCUGCUCUCUUUUCACGACUUCCAGCUGACUCUCUAGCUGCCGGCACAUCUGUGCAUGCUCUUUGUAAACGCUGGUGGUGUCUUCUAAGAAACUGACCCUUUGCUCUGCUUGCCGCUUCAGCCUAUGAUAUAGGGUGGCCAGCUGAAGCAUCUUCUCUGGCUGCCAAGGCUGACCGGUGCUGCGAAAACUCUCCUUUUUCUGGUUCAGUUCAUUCACAGCUUCCCCAAGGGCUACCACUUCACCCAGAAGGGCACUGCAGCUCUGUUGAAGAGACACACUCUCCUCAACUAUCAGGUCUGAAGGCAUUUUCCUCAUCUUCAGGAACU